rnacentral:rRNA from 1 species
AACGAACGCUGGCGGCAGGCUUAACACAUGCAAGUCGAGCGCCCCGCAAGGGGGGCGGCAGACGGGUGAGUAACGCGUGGGAAUCUACCCAUCUCUACGGAAUAACGCAUGGAAACGUGCGCUAAUACCGUAUACGUCCUUCGGGAGAAAGAUUUAUCGGAGAUGGAUGAGCCCGCGUUGGAUUAGCUAGUUGGCGGGGUAAAGGCCUACCAAGGCGACGAUCCAUAGCUGGUCUGAGAGGAUGAUCAGCCACACUGGGACUGAGACACGGCCCAGACUCCUACGGGAGGCAGCAGUGGGGAAUAUUGGACAAUGGGCGCAAGCCUGAUCCAGCCAUGCCGCGUGAGUGAUGAAGGCCCUAGGGUUGUAAAGCUCUUUCACCGGUGAAGAUAAUGACGGUAACCGGAGAAGAAGCCCCGGCUAACUUCGUGCCAGCAGCCGCCGUAACAC